GCGCAAAAAGCUGCCAUGCAGCCCACUAAUCUAGGCUGAUCUGCGAGCGACAUGUGUGAAAAUGCGACCAACAAACGUGUGGCAUAGACAACAUCUAGAUGUUCGCGGACACGCCCCACCUUUACAAGCUGCUCCGCAACCACCUGCUUAACGACGGCCUGCGCCUUCCCAACGGCGGUCGAAUUAAUAAACAGCUGUUCGCUUACGUGUUGGCCAUUGACGGCGACAAGGAGUUAAGGAUCCUUCCCAAGCUUGGCGUGGAAAGCCAUCUGGAGGACUGGACUGGACAGACCGGACAGCAACGUCAGGGAGUUCGCCCAGCCGUCCAAAUCCUCAGCGAGUCCGUAGCGACAGCUAUCGACACCUUUACGAACCGGCAUGAAGAGGCGCAGUACCUACGCGUGUUUGACCACGGCUUCGACGCCCUUAACGGGCAGUGUCCCACAGACUUGAAAGAGCUCCGCCGUGGCAUGAACCCUGACAGUGCGGCACACUACACGGCGCUGGCUGACAUGGAGGCGGCCAUGUUGCUGACGUUUGGCGAGAAAACUUCGCUCCUGCCGUUCCAGAAAGGACCCAUCGUCACUGUCAAGUCCAUGCGGGGUCUUGUGGGUGACCUUGUGUCUGUCCUUGGCCCGGAUACCUACGUCAUGCCGGGCCGAGUAAAUCAAGAUAUUCUUGAAUCGUA